UACGUAGGGGGCUAGCGUUGUCCGGAAUCAUUGGGCGUAAAGAGCGUGUAGGCGGCCCGGUAAGUCCGCUGUGAAAGUCGGGGGCUCAACCCUCGAAUGCCGGUGGAUACUGUCGGGCUAGAGUGCGGAAGAGGCGAGUGGAAUUCCUGGUGUAGCGGUGAAAUGCGCAGAUAUCAGGAGGAACACCGAUUGCGAAGGCAGCUCGCUGGGACGUUACUGACGCUGAGGCGCGAAGGCGUGGGGAGCGAACGGG
rnacentral:rRNA from 1 species